rnacentral:ribozyme from 1 species
UGCCCAGCAACUCCUAUCCCUACCUCCUCGUGGUACUGGCCGGGGUACGAGUAACCUUGGGGAAGAUCGGGUAACCAACCCCCGGUGGGAACUUUGGUCGUAUGCUGACUGGGAAGG